CACUGAGUCACACUAGCCAGGGCAAAUACUUAGUUUUUGAAAGCCAUGAAAAUCCACAUCUGCCAGAAUAAAUCAGUGUCUUAUUUUUAAAAGUAUACUUUUUUCCCCCUUUUUUGGGGGGGUGGAAAGUAUGAUUUCUGUGAAUCUUAAUUUUUUCCCCAUUUCUUGUACACAGGUAGUACUGGUUUUUAUUGAAUGAAUUGAUGGCACUUUUGUUAGGUAUGUGUGGAGUUCAGCUAUUAAUAUUUCAGGUUGUAGUCCAGGUAAAUUUUUAAGUAAACUCUCAAUAGGGAUUUCAGUUUCUGUUAAUCUAUUAAACAGUAAUGUAAGACUCGCAUACACUAAUGCUACUUGAGUGAGUGCGUUUUAAAGAUUGUCUUUGUUUCCACUUAAUUCCUGACUCCUUUCUCAGCUAGUGUAGGUUUUCCUUGAAAAAGGUGUGUACGAGUAUAUGUGUGUAUACCAUGUGAAAAAAUAAGGGUCAGUUUUUUCCAUGUUACUUUUGUAAGAACCGGCCAUAACUCAAAUGCCCUAAUCUUUUUGGGGGGAUUUCUCCUGUUCUUUCAUUUACAGCAUAUUCCUUUGUCUCCCCACUUUGGCUGCUUCUCUGUAUUUGUUUCUGUAUGUUAGGCAGAUCUGUUAUAUCUCCCAGUCUUGGUAGCGUGACCUUGUGUAGUAGGUGUCCUGUGGCUCAGUGGUGCAAUCUCUUUGGUAAACUGAGCUAGGUGCUCCAGGAAUGCCCCCUAUGUGGGUUUUGUGAGCCCUCCUGUGGUAACUUGUGGCUGUGCCGGGCGACCCCACGAAGCAGAAUCUGCUCCAGUGGGGUCUGGUGCCUGCCCACAUCUCCCUCUGCUGUUUGCCACUUGUGCAGCUAACCAGGU